ACUGCCUAGAUCCAUCCCAUCCUCUCGGUAAUCCUGCGGGGAGGAGGCAGAGAUAGUGAGUGGCCGGGUCGAGCCUGCUCCGGCCGCCCGCUGCCCGCCCCGACCUCCCCGCGCGCGGCGUCCGCCUGCCGUGAGGAAAUUGAAUCAAAGACCAUCUAUGGGGGAGUUUUCCAGAACCACACACGAGCUACCUGAACUUGCCAACCCUUCUCUAGGAAGAGGGUUGAUGUGAAAAUAUUUGCUUGGGAAAUGUAGAUGGGCUGCGGAAUACCUUUUAAGGACUAAAAAAUUCCUCUGAGCAGCUUUGCCCUGUGAGAAGUGAUUUAGGAAAUGCCCUCCUCUGCAGUGAGGAUGAAAGAAUGCUUAACUCUGCAAUGGAAUGGAGACAACCAGUUUCUUUGGACUUCCAGAUUUAGGGCUGUAACUAAUUCAUUCCAGCAGGGUUAGUCUGGACCAACCCCCCACCCUUGCUUGGCACCUUUCAAAUGGAGGAGCAGAAGCAUGCUUGGGAUUCUUUGGUAGGGAGAGGCUGCCACCCUGGCCAUUUAGGCUCUGGUGGGGACUUGGUGCCUAGACCCUUUGUCUCAGUGAUUUCCUCUCCUUAGCUAAGCCCCUGGCCAGGAAAUGUAAGCAACCCUUUUAUUUGACUUGUCUGGAAGCAACCAUCCUGUGAGUAACAGGAAAAGAGGCCUUUCUGGUCUGGCUUAGCUCCUCAGUCGGGAGCCACUGGUUAUGACUUAACGUACAAUUCACACUAACAUCUGUAAACAGCCUGCUUAGGGGCCCAGAUAUGGUGUGCUAUGAGGUUGCCUUGGAGUGCUGGCUGCCACUGAGGGGUAUGGAGGAGGUCCUGUAUUCUGUGACAUGCAUGGGUGCAUGGGAAGAUCACCAUGGGCCAUGGCAAAGCUGAGAUCAAGAAAGGCCACCUAGAGGGCUGGAGAAAUGGCUCAGUGAGUCAAGUGCUUUCUGUAAAAGCCAGGAUCUGGGUGCUCUCCGUAACCCCAGCAUGCGGGGGUGGGGGGUGGGGCGGUAGGAGGUGGAGACAUGCAAGAUCCCUGAUAUUGAGAACCAGGCUACACCAAACUGCAAGUCCUAGGUUCAGAGAGAGACCCUGUCUCAAAAUAACGAACUAACUAACUAAAUGAAUGAAUAAAUAAGGUGAAGUAGCUGAGGACAGCAUCCUGAUGUCAACCCCUGGCCCCACACAUUCCUACACAGGCAGGUAUAUCUGCAUGCCCAUGUGUGCACGCAUGCAGAUACCACACACAUACACAGAGCUAGCUGCUCUGUGCCAGAUGCAUGUGGACACAUACUGAUCCGUUGGGGGUGACAGGAGCAUUGUAGGGACAGUCCGGUUUUUAAACAGUAGGGCCUCUGGAGCCACCCACCCACACAGCUGGGGCACUUUACUCCACAGCUGCUCAGACGGUCUGUGGUCAGGAAGUGGAAAACAAAACCUAAAUGAAACAUUUGGCAAGGUAAAGGCGCUGCCAAAAAAUGCAUGGUAUUUUCAAAGCCAACUAUAAACACCUUGGAAUUAUCUGUAAUUUCAUUUUCUUUUCUGACCAGAUAAACUGGAUCAGAUCGGAAGUACGCAGUUUUCUUUUCCCCACUUUUCAUGGAAAGUGCUUGGCCAGGCCAGUUACCCUUCUGUUUCCAGCCUGCCACCUCCUGCCAAGAACCCUCCCACUUUGGAACAGGAAGGCCUGCCAGCUUCAAGGCUGCAAUAGUUAGUAGCUAGGUCCAGCAGGAUGGAGAAAUGAUUUGCAAAGUCUUGUCUUCCUCUGUAGGGAGCCUUUCUCAGACAUCAGAGAUGUAGGACAAGAGAGAGUCCUACAUCCAGAACCUUCCCCACCAACCCAGUGUGCUGGAAGAGUCAAUCCCUCUGGCAUGCCCACUGCCCUCACCCCAAGUAUGCAGCCAAGAGUAGCCGUCUUCCUAAAAGUGCAGAUCUCUCCCUGACUACCAAAACUCCACGAUGGCUGCCUCUAAAGAACCUGCUUCCCACGACUUCCAGCUUAUUUUGACAAUUUUUAUUCAUCCCUAGUCUCAGCCAACAUGCCACUUCCUCCUGGAUGGUUUGACUGCUUUGACCUGCUCACCUGGGUCAGAGGACAUUCUCUUGAGCCCACGGCAUUCACUGCCGUGUGACGCACAUUGUCAAUGAUGCUGUUUAAUCACUUUGCUUCUCCAAUAGCCUCAGAGUAAGAACUACAUUUUAUGUUAAAGCUCAGGUCACACAUCUGUAUAAAAAUAAGUGUAUGUAGCCGGGCAGUGGUGACCCAUGCCUUUAAUCCCAGCACUCAGGUGGCAGAGCCAGGUGGAUCUCUGUGAGUUCAAGGCCAGCCUGGGCUACAGAGAGAAAUCCAGGAUGAGCACCAAAACUACACUGUCUCAAAAAACUAAAUAAAUAAAUAAGUGUACGUUUCAUGAAACACUUGCUUUGUGAAAAUCCUGUUCUAGGGUGCUAGAGGUAUAGUCAGCGAUUAGAAGAAGGCUGAUCUAGCGUACCAGAGGCCCUGAGUUCGAUCCCCAAAGCCAUCUGAAAUGGGGUAGUGGUAACACUGGCUCAGGUGGAAGCUGUUUUGACUCAUCCCUGGCCUCAACCACUUGGGUUCCAAAUUUUAGACACCCGUCUCAAAAAUAUUGUUCUAACUUAUGUAAAACAAAGCCUAGCUAUAUCUUUAUACUUUGCUAUGGUGACUUUAAAAUCCUUAAGUGGGAUGGGGUUCCAGUGUGGAAGAGGAAAAUACUCUGAACUCCAUGGACAGUUGGGCUGUGAAAAGAAUAAAAGCUUGAUAGACA